rnacentral:rRNA from 1 species
GACGAACGCUGGCGGCGUGCUUAACACAUGCAAGUCGAACGGUGAAGCGCCUUCCUUUUUGGUGGGUGUGGAUGAGUGGCGAACGGGUGAGUAACACGUGAGUAACCUGCCCCCUUCUUCUGGAUAACCGCAUGAAAGUGUGGCUAAUACGGGAUAUUCUGGGUCUGUCGCAUGAUGGGUCUGGGAAAGAUAUUGUUUCGGUGGGGGAUGGGCUCGCGGCCUAUCAGCUUGUUGGUGGGGUGAUGGCCUACCGAGGCGGUGACGGGUAGCCGGCCUGAGAGGGUGGACGGUCACACUGGGAAUGAGACACGGCCCAGACUCCUACGGGAGGCAGCAGUGGGGAAUAUUGCACAAUGGGCGCAAGCCUGAUGCAGCGACGCCGCGUGAGGGAUGGAGGCCUUCGGGUUGUGAACCUCUUUCGCCAGUGAAGCAGGCCUGCCUCGUUUGUGGGUGGGUUGACGGUAGCUGGAGAAGAAGCGCCGGCUAACUACGUG